GAUGAACGCUGGCGGCGUGCCUAAUACAUGCAAGUCGAGCGAACAGACGAGGAGCUUGCUCCUCUGACGUUAGCGGCGGACGGGUGAGUCACACGUGGAUAACCUACCUAUAAGACUGGGAUAACUUCGGGAAACCGGAGCUAAUACCGGAUAAUAUAUUGAACCGCAUGGUUCAAUAGUGAAAGACGGUUUUGCUGUCACUUAUAGAUGGAUCCGCGCCGCAUUAGCUAGUUGGUAAGGUAACGGCCUACCAAGGGAACGAUGCGUAGCCGACCUGAGAGGGUGAUCGGCCACACUGGAACUGAGACACGGUCCAGACUCCUACGGGAGGCAGCAGUAGGGAAUCUUCCGCAAUGGGCGAAAACCUUACGGAGCAACGCCGCGUGAGUGAUGAAGGUCUUCGGAUCGUAAAACUCUGUUAUUAGGGAAGAACAAAUGUGUAAGUAACUAUGCACGUCUUGACGGUACCUAAUCAGAAAGCCACGGCUAACUACGUG
rnacentral:rRNA from 1 species